rnacentral:lncRNA from 1 species
CUUUUUUGGCUUGCUGUACAGACUGCUGCCACUCUGGCUGGCUAGGUCGCUCUCUCCCCAUCUCCUCCCACAGCCCCUGCCUUCACUCCUCCUCAUACAGCAUCCUACCAAAGGGAAUGGACUCCAAUACACUAGCUCAUGUAACAAGAUUUGAUCACUGGUCCCACUGCCAGAGGAUCUUCAGAUAGUGCAAGCUUC